rnacentral:rRNA from 1 species
CCCUUAGAUGUUCUGGGCCGCACGCGCGCUACACUGACGAAUGCAACGAGCUUAUAACCUUGGCCGAAAGGUCUGGGUAAUCUCCAAAUUUCGUCGUGAUGGGGAUAGAUUAUUGCAAUUAUUAAUCUUCAACGAGGAAUGCCUAGUAAGCGCAAGUCACCAGCUUGCGUUGAUUACGUCCCUGCCCUUUGUACACACCGCCCGUCGCUCCUACCGAUUGAAUGGUCCGGUGAAGCGUUCGGACCGUGGCCUUUGGACGGUUCGCCGUCUGUUGGCUGCGGGAAGUUCGUUAAACCUUAUCAUUUAGAGGAAGGAGAAGUCGUANCA